GUCCUAGCCUUAAACGAUGAAUGCUUGGUGUCUGGGGUUUUAUAGUCCCCGGGUGCCGUCGCUAACGCUUUAAGCAUUCCGCCUGGGGGAGUACGGUCGCAAGACUGAAACUCAAAAGGAAUUGACGGGGACCCGCACAAGCGGUGGAGCAUGUGGUUUAAUUCGACGCAACGCGAAGAACCUUACCUGGGCUAGAAUGCCUCUGACAACCUUAGAGAUAGGGCCUUCUGGGUAAAAACCAGACAGAGUGCAAGGUGCUGCAUGGCUGUCGU
rnacentral:rRNA from 1 species